rnacentral:rRNA from 1 species
UACGGGGGGGGCAAGCGUUGUUCGGAAUUACUGGGCGUAAAGGGCUCGUAGGCGGCCAACUAAGUCCGACGUGAAAUCCCCAGGCUUAACCUGGGAACUGCGUCGGAUACUGGAUGGCUUGAAUUCGGGAGAGGGAUGUGGAAUUCCAGGUGUAGCGGUGAAAUGCGUAGAUAUCUGGAGGAACACCGGUGGCGAAGGCGGCAUCCUGGACCGGUAUUGACGCUGAGGCGCGAAAGCCAGGGGAGCAAACGGG